rnacentral:rRNA from 1 species
GGUCCUACGGGGGGCAGCAGUGGGGAAUAUUGGACAAUGGGGGAAACCCUGAUCCAGCGACGCCGCGUGAGUGAAGAAGUAUUUCGGUACGUAAAGCUCUAUCAGCAGGAAAGAAAAUGACGGUACCUGACUAAGAAGCCCCGGCUAACUACGUGCCAGCAGCCGCGGUAAUACGUAUGGAGCAAGCGUUAUCCGGAUUUACUGGGUGUAAAGGGAGCGCAGACGGCAGGGCAAGUCUGAUGUGAAAGUCCGGGGCUCAACCCCGGGACUGCAUUGGAAACUGUCCGGCUAGAGUGCAGGAGAGG